rnacentral:tRNA from 1 species
GGGUGAUUAGCUCAGUUGGUAGAGCGCCUCCUUUACACGGAGGAAGUCGGCAGUUCGAAUCUGUCAUCACCUA